CGGAGCUCGAGAGUAAGCGGAGCCCGCAUGGGAGCGCAGGUGACCAGGAUGCUGGUCAGUGGUGACACCGCACUGGCCAGGCACAGAGAGCCCCAGCACUUCGGUUAACCCAAGUGUUCCUGCUGCUCUGACCCAUCCUGCCUCUUGACAUGAACAGCCAAAAUGGAUUAUGCUGAAGAUUCUUGUGCUGCGAAUAAUGUAGAAGGAACAGCACGUUUAGCAGAGCCAUAUUCUUCCUCAUUUUCAUGGAGACGCUUUCUCGUUGUGGUUGGCUGGAAGAAAAACACAGGAGGAUGGCUCCAGAAAACCAGUGUCACCUAAUUUGAUUGUGGCUACAUUUGAAUUGAUGGAUAAGAAAUAUUUUUUCAUUUAUGUAACAAAGACCUGUGUUUUUGCUUUAACAUGCAACCAAACUAAUCUUGUGCCAUUCAAGAGACAUCAGUGAAGAUUUCAGAGGCAGAAACAGCAAUUAAUUGUUUAUAUGCCUUUAAGAAAUGCUUUCUUAAGUAAAUACAGCUAUGCUUAAUGAAAUAUCAAGAAGAAUGUGAAGGAACACUCCCAAAUCUCUCCAUUGACAAGAAAUGUAAGUUUCCUUACC